CAAAAGAUCACUUGAGUCUAGAAGUUUAUGGCCAGCCUCAGAAAACACAGCAAGACCAUGUAUUAAUCAGUCACAAACUCCAAACAAACAAAACAUGAUGGAAUGCAGCGCUCCUGUGUAGCUGCUGCUGAGAAAAAGGCUCCCUUUAACUCCACACAUAGCCAGGCUUCACUGAGGUCCUAGAACCAUCCCAAGCCAACAGCUCCCUCAAGUGCAUGUGAUCAGUGUCCACCUCAGAGGAGACACACAACAACUCGGAAGAGACACAGGGAGGCAUGCUUCCGCGCCUCUCACAGCAGAGCAAACAAGUCAUCAGGAAUCUGGCUGUAGCCUUGACCUUGGUGUUUUCCCUUGGGGGGGGGGCAUCCUCAGCACUGCCCUUUCAGUUAGGGGUGAGCAUGGAAGUCAGCUCCCUGGAUAGAGCAAGGAAGGAGAAAAGCAGCAGACACCAGGUUUCUCCAAGUGUUGACCAUUUAUAAAUACGUACAUUUGCUUUCAUACAUACAGUUCAUUGUACAGAUGACGCUCUGUAUACAUGGGGCAGGAAAAUGCAUUCAUUUGAACUUUUCACAUCUAUCUCACACAGCUCACAUGUACAGACAAUAAAACUGUUCAAGCAAGUACAGUAGAGAAAAUGUCUUCCUUAUUCACGGGGCUGGAGGCCUCCGCUGGGUGUGGGCCAUCCCCACUGCACGAGUUCACGACCGGGUGGUGUUUGAUAUAUCAGGAUAGAGAACAAACAUGCAUUGGAUAAUAUACUGUACAGAGAAAGUCCUUUACAUCUGAGUUAUAGAAAACCUAAAGGAAAACUAAGUGCAUUAAAGCUUUUUCCAGCAAGUGUCUUGAAAGGACAGCAAAGAGGAAUAAUCAAAAUCAUAUUAGUACAAAUCACUCUUUAAUUGUAGACUGUACAUGUCUGUACUAAUUAAAAUCAUCUUGGGUUUGGAGGAGACAGAACAGAGAGACAGAUGCUGUGCUAGAUGGAAGGGAGGCCAUGCCUGAGAAUGGCACCUGCCCUGGGCCCCACAGGGAAUGGGCCCAACUCAGCAGGAAUCAGUCAAAUGUCAGGAACAAAACAAACAAAGCAAAGCAAAGCAAAGCAAAGCAAAGCAAAGCAAAGCAAAGCAUAGCAAAGCAGGGCAGGCAGUCUGCAUCCAGGGAAGAUGCUUGUCUCCUGCCUCAGGAAGCUCCCAUUGGUGUUCUUAAGUCAAAAACCACUUGCUCCAGUAGUGGCAUGCACUCUCUCUUAUAAUGGAUAGGAAAUAAUUGUGGUUUGACACUGCUAUUUCAGGUCGGGGUAGAGACGCUAACUCUCUUAAUUUUCCUGGGAAAAUGAGGGACCAUGGGUAAUAGUGGCAGCUGUGGUGUAUUUUUAGGUCUGCAUGGCAUUCUAACCCACCUGGGCAGGUAAGGUGGUAAGGGUGGCUUUCCAAACAGGCGGGAGCACUUUAUUAAUGGACUGUAGGAGCUCCCUCAGAGGUGGUUCAGGUAAGAUACAAUGUGAUGCAGAGACCAACAGAGCUGUGUCCAGGCCACAAGGGGACUCGAGAGGCUGCUGCUCCCAGCUAUAGGCUGACCCCACAGCUAUAAGCUUCUUCCAGAUGGGAGAGAUGAAGAUAAAGACAGGUGGAUGGCCAGGUAGGGAGAAAUGACCAGUGCCUAUCCUAGUCUAGGAGGAUGGGGCAGUUCUAUAUCAGAGUAAAAGCAGUCCUGCUUACAGAGAUGAAUUCUGAUGUUUUAGGCUUGGGGGUCCUGGGGUCCAUCUACUGGCAGAAUCUAAAUCAGUGAUGAAAGGUUUCUGAUUGCAGUGUCAUGCUCUGCAUGACUUCAGAUCCUAUCAGAGAACUGCAUUCCAAACAGAUCACAGCUGGGUUUUAUUCAGGAAAUUAUCCUUCCUGCAGCCCUUCACUAAUGAGAAAUGCUCCCUAAGAACAUGGUAGCAACAAGCAACAUGGUUACUUUGCUGGACCUGUGACUUGGUUUUGAGAACUGACGUGUUCCCAGAGAUGGUACUGUGCUACAGCUUUGGUUCCUGUGUCCUUGAUGCCUACCUCACAGUUGUCUCAGCUUUUCAAAAAAUCAGGUUAGCAAACAGCCACAAGACGAAUGGAAACGGAGGGAGGAAAAGGCCUACUAUCAAUCUCAUGCCCCUACCCAGUGCUCAGAGCAAUCUGUAACACUUUUGGCUGUUUCUGAUUUUCAAAGAUUACCAUUUAACACUCUUAGAUAAAAGAGACAAUUCCUUUAACAGAGAAUAAUGAAAUCAGAGGUCUUAAAAUGGAAUUAGAUAACAGCCAACAUGGAAUGUAGUGGCCUGGGUGGAAACCCUGGGAUGGGCCUUACAGUCCCCAAGAGAACCCAAGCAGGUUCUGGAAGAAACUCUUUACACUAUCAUCUUGGUUUUGAGACAAUGACGUCAGCUGAGCGAAGCCUGGCUCCAGGUGAAAGUGCAUCGAGUCCGGUUACUACAGCAGCCAGACCUCAGAGGUUGUUCAGGGUUUUUUUUUGUGAUCUAAAAUGCAGACUUGACCCAGCUUUCUCUUGGUGAGAAGCAAGAACAAUCUUUCCCCCUUUCUCCUCCUUUCUCCAUACUUAUUCCCUUCUCUAGCCGUGGAAAAUCAGCAGCCUUUAGUGGCUGUUAGUUAAUGCCUAGAGAAUACCUCUUGGUGAGUACUUUAAAAAUACCAACAGUUCUCCUGGAAUUUCCUUGGCUAAUCAGGGCUGGAUGUUUAUUAAAAGUUCCCCAAACACUUCUUGGAAAACCAACAUAGUAACAUUUCAGAUAAUUAUAGUGGGCUUUUCUUCCAAUCAAUUUAGCCUGCCUUUCUUUCUUUCUUUCUUUCUUUCUUUCUUUCUUUCUUUCUUUCUUUCUUUCUUUCUUNNNNNNNNNNCCUCUCUUACUCUUUCUCUCUCACUCUCCCUAGACCCCUUUGUCCCAGAGAAGGACCAGCAAUAAAGGAAAUGAAGAUUCUAGAGCUGACGCCUGC
rnacentral:lncRNA from 1 species